AGAUAAGUUCAUUCAGAUUUCCUUUGCGGUCGUCCAAAAUCCCUUUCGGGCAAGAUGUGGUAUGAAAUAAUACCAGGAUUAGCUAUUAUUUGUGGCUGUGUAACGGCUGUAGGUGGCCUUACUAUAACAGUACAGAAGCUGCAACAUGGAGGAAAGGCUAGGAGAACAGCACCAACUAGAUUUGACUACACAAUGAUCAUGAGGGAUCAGAAAAUUGCAGGCAAAUACUGGAAAGCAAAGGGACUCGAGUCAUUAGCCGGUGUGGAUGUGAAGUAGCCAACUACACCAGUCCCAUAUGCCAUUUGUAAAUCCUUCCCAUCAUGCCUUGCCAGGAGACCGAUCAUACAGAACAUUGAAACCAGAUCCAUGUCAUUGAAUAUACCCGUGGACUACAGCGGUUCAUCGUUACAGAGUUUUUUCUGAUCUCAACACGAAUAUAGUUCAUUUCAAAUGUCCUCUACAUGUAUGUUGUAUAUUUAUGAGCAUAGUUCGGGCACCUUACCAAAAUUCCAUGCCAUGAUUUCCGCAGGAGCCAGGAACUUCGUCAUUUCACAGCUGCUCCCCCCGCAUCCUCAUUGAUUGUCCAUGAUAAAAAGAAUCGCAAUGAAAAGCUGUUUGUAGGAUUCCUCAGGAAAAGAUGCGGUUCAGACUUUUGGUAUGGUGCCGUAGGGUCGUAGAGAGACUGUCAAUUAUACAACAUACGUAAUAAGAAUAGAAUUUUAAGCAAAAACACAAUCAUCAAUCGGUGAGUGUUUUGGUGUGCCCAAAUUUGUGUAUGUCAAGGAGAGAAGAGAGGUUUUCAAUUGACACCCUAUUGCAUUCAAACUUGAAUUGCAAUUGUGUAACUGAUUCUCUUUCUGUACACGACCUGAGAUAUUAUAUGUUCAACCUUACCUCUAUAGUACCAUUAAUGUGUGUGAUAAAUCUAGUAAAGGCUUAAAAUCAAUUAAUGUAACCCUCUGGCUGUUAAUAAGAAUAAAAUACAUGUACUUGUAUUGAAAAGGGGACCACCCCUUUCCUCUGUGGUAUGAUAAAAAUGAUUAUAAAACAGCCUUACAAAUAUACAAAUCAAUCAUAGAUUCUUGUAAAGUAACGGGGUAUUACAUCAUUUAUGGGCCAGAAUAAUUAUUAGUGACUGCCAGUCUGCAACUAAGUGUCUAAAUCUGAAAUUACAUACCAUUAUCCAUGUGUUUACAUACAUGUAGCGAUGAACAUCAUGACCAUCUGUUUUUAGAGACUGAUGGCAUUUGCUAUAAAUGGAUGUAGGUUAUAAUCCCCCCUUUUUUUUGCUCCAAAACUGCUUAUAUUAUUCGCAAUUUUAAUGGACAGAGAUGUUCUAAUUGGGUCAUAUCUUUGGAAAUGGAAUUGAUCUAAGAUUGCGCAAUGCAGUGUCACUCACCAGUAAUGUAUGAUAGUGUGGUGCUGUUUCAUCAUAUUUUACAUAUUUCAAUUCCGAUGGUCCAGUAACUGGCAAGUGCAUUUUCUUAACUAUUUUCAUUGUGUAAUAUAAAAUUUAUAUUAGUGCUGGGAGGACAAAACCAUGUAUCUAACAAAAGGGUAGAAUGUUCAUGAAAGGGAAAUGUUUGCUGUCCUAACACUGCUUUCGAUUAGAUGAUCUUCCUUUGGCGUGGCCUAAAGGCCUUUUUCAUGGAUAUAAAAAUUGGGAUGGACAGGGUUUCACUUGACAUGAAAAGAAAAGGAAAGAAGAGGAAAGAUUUUCCUCCAAAAUUGAGAUACAUUGGUAUUAUCACCCGGUGAAUAUUUGCCAUAUGCAUUAUGGACAUUUUUUCUGUUUUAUUAUAUAAAAAAAUGGAGUGUAAGAUAUCAGUAUGGCUUGAAAAUAUAUCUAA